AUUGAACGCUGGCGGCAGGCCUAACUCAUGCAAGUCGAACGAGUGGCGGACGGGUGAGUAAUGUCUGGGAAACUGCCUGAUGGAGGGGGAUAACUACUGGAAACGGUAGCUAAUACCGCAUACCAUCAGAGGUGCCCAGAUGGGAUUGGCUAGUUGGUGGGGUAACCGCUCACCAAGGCGACGAUCCCUAGCUGGUCUGAGAUGGUGACCAGUCACAUGGGAACUGAGACACUGUCCAGACGCCUACGGGAGGCAGCAUUGGGGAAUAUUGCACAAUGGGCGCAAGCCUGAGACAGCCAUGCCGCGUGUAUGAAGAAGGCCUGCGGGUUUUAAAGUACUUUCAGCGGGGAGGCGUUACCCUCAGAAGAAGCACCGGCUAACUCCGUGCGAGCAGCCGCGGUAAUAC
rnacentral:rRNA from 1 species